UACGUAGGGUGCGAGCGUUGUCCGGAAUUAUUGGGCGUAAAGAGCUCGUAGGCGGUCUGUCGCGUCGGUCGUGAAAACUUGGGGCUUAACCCUGAGCUUGCGGUCGAUACGGGCAUGACUGGAGUUCGGAAGGGGAGACUGGAAUUCCUGGUGUAGCGGUGAAAUGCGUAGAUAUCUGGAGGAACACCGGUGGCGAAGGCGGGUCUCUGGGCCGAUAUUGACGCUGAGGAGCGAAAGCGUGGGGAGCGAACAGG
rnacentral:rRNA from 1 species